rnacentral:rRNA from 1 species
UACGUAGGGUGCAAGCGUUAAUCGGAAUUACUGGGCGUAAAGCGUGCGCAGGCGGUUUUGUAAGACAGAUGUGAAAUGCCCGGGCUCAACCUGGGAACUGCAUUUGUGACUGCAUGGCUAGAGUGUGUCAGAGGGGGGUAGAAUUCCACGUGUAGCAGUGAAAUGCGUAGAUAUGUGGAGGAAUACCGAUGGCGAAGGCAGCCCCCUGGGAUAACACUGACGCUCAUGCACGAAAGCGUGGGGAGCAAACAGG